CACGUGUCAAAAUUCAGAUCCGUUUUCACCGUGCUUUCAAAUAUUUGUCCCACAUUCAUUCGGGAGGGUACUCCUAAGGGAUUGAAGACCAUAUCAACGGGUGUUCCAUCUUGCAAAUAG
rnacentral:rRNA from 1 species